AGUGAACGCUGGCGGCAGGCCUAACACAUGCAAGUCGAACGGCAGCACAGUAAGAGCUUGCUCUUACGGGUGGCGAGUGGCGGACGGGUGAGGAAUACAUCGGAAUCUACUUUUUCGUGGGGGAUAACGUAGGGAAACUUACGCUAAUACCGCAUACGACCUACGGGUGAAAGCAGGGGAUCUUCGGACCUUGCGCGAUUGAAUGAGCCGAUGUCGGAUUAGCUAGUUGGCGGGGUAAAGGCCCACCAAGGCGACGAUCCGUAGCUGGUCUGAGAGGAUGAGCAGCCACACUGGAACUGAGACACGGUCCAGACUCCUACGGGAGGAAGCAGUGGGGAAUAUUGGACAAUGGGCGCAAGCCUGAUCCAGCCAUACCGCGUGGGUGAAGAAGGCCUUCGGGUUGUAAAGCCCUUUUGUUGGGAAAGAAAAGCAGCAGGUUAAUACCCCGCUGUUCUGACGGUACCCAAAGAAUAAGCACCGGCUAACUUCGUG
rnacentral:rRNA from 1 species